ACGUGGGUGACUGGAGUUCCUGAUGAGGAAGUGAUAAAGAGCGAGCGAGCUAGCAGGGGCCGCCAUGCAGCAGCAAGCUGCACAUGCACAACUGGAGUUCAAAGAAAGACAGAUGACAUCAAGGCAAGACCUAGAAGCCAGCCGGGCAAGCUGAGGAACAGCGCACUGGUUAAAGGAGCAAGGCAAACCAAACAGACAAGACUGGAGAGUGAAUACACAGCUCUCAGCUCAAAGGGGAUCAGGAAAUUCUGAGUACAGAUGUUGACGGAAGUUGACCUUCGACCAAAACCUGUGCAUUCAGAAAGUACCGACCACAGCUUCCUCCCUGCAGAUGACUGUAGCCUGACACUGCUCCCUCACAGAGACCACCUAUGGAGAUAAGCUGAGCCAUCUCUUCAUCCGUGCUGUAUAUCAUAAACACAUUGAGC
ensembl:lincRNA 3300005D01Rik RIKEN cDNA 3300005D01 gene